rnacentral:rRNA from 1 species
UACGUAGGGUGCGAGCGUUACUCGGAAUUACUGGGCGUAAAGCGCGCGCAGGCGGCUGCGCAAGUCGGGUGUGAAAUCCCCGAGCUUAACUUGGGAAUUGCGCUCGAAACUACGUGGCUCGAGUGUGGCAGAGGAAGGUGGAAUUCCACGUGUAGCGGUGAAAUGCGUAGAGAUGUGGAGGAACACCGAUGGCGAAGGCAGCCUUCUGGGCCGACACUGACGCUCAUGCACGAAAGCGUGGGGAGCAAACAGG